CUAAGAAUAUUCCGCAAUGGACGGAAGUCUGACGGAGCGACGCCGCGUGGAUGACGAAGGCCGAAAGGUUGUAAAGUUCUUUUGCUGGGGAAGAAUAACCGCAGGAGGGAAUGCCUGUGGGAUGACAAGAACCGGCGAAUAAGCCCCGGCCAACUACGCGCCAGCAGCCGCGGUAACACGUAGGGGGCGAGCGUUGUUCGGAAUUACUGGGCGUAAAGGGCAUGUAGGCGGCUUGGAAAGCCUGGCGUGAAAGUCUGCAGCUUAACUGCAGGGGUGCGCUGGGAACUGCUGAGCUUGAGUGACGGAGAGGGAGCUGGAAUUCCUGGUGUAGGGGUGAAAUCUGUAGAUAUCAGGAAGAACACCGAUGGCGAAGGCAAGCUCCUGGCCGAUGACUGACGCUGAGGUGCGAAAGUGUGGGGAUCAAACAGGAUUAGAUACCCUGGUAGUCCACACAGUCAACGAUGUGCACUAGGUGCUGGGGCGGUAGCUUCGGUGCCGGAGCGAACGUGGUGAAGUGCACCGCCUGGGGAGUAUGCUCGCAAGGGUG
rnacentral:rRNA from 1 species